rfam:Nonlabens sediminis DNA, contig: contig00004, strain: JCM 19294.
CAACCUCUGACGAGGUUCGUGUAUGUUG